rnacentral:rRNA from 1 species
GGGGGAAACCCUGACGCAGCGACGCCGCGUGGAGGAUGAAGGUCUUCGGGUUGUAAACUCCUUUUCUUGGGGAAAAUGAUGAUGGUACUCAAGGAAUAAGCCACGGCUAACUCUGUGCCAGCAGCCGCGGUAAGACAGAGGUGGCGAGCGUUGUUCGGAAUUACUGGGCUUAAAGGGCGAGUAGGCGGUAGAGCAAGUCUGAGGUGGAAUCCUAUGGCUUAACCAUAGAACUGCCUUAGAAACUGCUUUACUUGAGUCAGUGAGGGGAGGGCGGAAUUCCUGGUGUAGCGGUGAAAUGCGUAGAUAUCAGGAGGAAGGCCUGUGGCGAAAGCGGCCCUCUGGCACUGUACUGACGCUGAGGCGCGAAAGCGUGGGGAGCAAACAGGAUUAGAUACCCUGGUAGUCCACGCCCUAAACGGUGGGCAUUAGGUGUAGGGCUCGUAAGGGUUCUGUGCCGAAGGGAAACCAUUAAAUGCCCCGCCUG